CCGCCACCAGAAAACAAGCUCCUGAGGGCUGGGACUUGCUUGGUUCACAGCUGAACCUCCAUGUCUGGAUCAGCGUAGGGCUCAGUAAAUGCUUGAUGAACGAAUGAAGUCUCAGCCAAAUGACUUUACUUCCUCAGCAGGAUCCUCGGGCUGCAUGUGAGAGGUGGACUCAGAGACCGUGCAGAAGCAGGAGACCAGAGAGGAGGUGACUGCAAUAGUCCAGCUCAGCUAUCUCCCUGGACAAAGAAGCCAAUCUCAAGCCUGCCAUCACCACACCAGUCCCUAAAGGGACAUAUCAAGG